rnacentral:lncRNA from 1 species
AAGAAGUCAGGCCGGAUUAAGCCAUAGUACGGUAAGAGCUAUGCUGCCUGUGAGCCCCGUCUACGGACGUAAAAUGAAGUCAGGCCGAAAGCCACGACUUGAGCAAACCGUGCUGCCUGUAGCUCCAUCGUGGGGAUGUAAAAACCUGGGAGGCUGCAACCCAUGGAAGCUGUACGCAUGGGGUAGCAGACUAGUGGUUAGAGGAGACCCCUCCCGAAACAUAACGCAGCAGCGGGGCCCAACACCAGGGGAAGCUGUACCCUGGUGGUAA